AUGGAGAAGCAUGUUUUUGGAGCUGUAGCUGCAAUAUUGGGAGACAAUCUGUCAUCUCACAUGAUAGGUGGAUUUGCCAUGUCUUUUGGUGCUGGUCGAAUCUGUAGAUACUGCAUGGCUACUCACUCUGAGAUGAAAAAGAACUUCAGUGAAUCUGAUUUUGUUUUAAGAAAUGUUGAUGUACACAGAUACCAUUUAGAAUGUGUAAAACAAAAUCCAGAAAACAAAGGAAUGUAUGGAGUUCGUGGUGGAUGUGUAUUUGACCAGUUAGAUUACUUUGACGUCACAACAUCUCUUCCUCCAGAUGUCAUGCAUGAUUUCUUGGAGGGUGUAGCACCGUUGGUAUUGAGGCUUGUUGUAUGUAAAGCUCAUCAAGAAAAACAUAUAACCAUACAAGAACUAAAUGAUGAACUAAGAAAGAUGUCCAUUGGACAAAAUGAUAAGACAAAUAAGCCUGUGCCUUUCUCAGAAAAUAUUUUACAUGGAUCCAGUGUUGUUGGAUCUGCUUCACAGAAGUGGUGUUUAUUCCGCCUACUUCCUUUCUUGAUGGCACACAGGGUACCUGAAGGCUGCAGUUACUGGUGGAUCUAUUUACUGUGUCGUGAAAUUGCUGACAUUGUAAUGGCACCGGUUGUAAAAAAAGAGUCCCUUCUUCUUCUUGACCAAUUAGUUUCUGAGUUUUUGUGUGGCAUGGAAAAAGAGUUUGGAAAUGUGAUAACUCCAAAAUGUCAUUACUUGAUCCAUUAUUCUCGUCUUAUGUUGUCCUACGGUCCUUUACGGUCUUUGUGGUGCAUGAGAUUUGAAGGGAAACAUCAGUAUUUCAAACAGGUAGCUAGUUCCUCAAGGAACUUUAUCAAUGUUACAUCAACUUUAAGCAGCCGCCAUCAGUUUAGACAGUGUUGGGAAUUUUCCUCAACUAAUAUGUUUGGGGAGUAUGAGAGGGUUAUGGGACGCAGUGUUAACACACUGUUACAGUCUCUUCCUUCAGCUCUUAGGCAUUCCAUAACUGUUAGUGAGCAUUACAAACAUGUCCAUUUUCAGGACAUUACACUCAACCGAGUAACAGAGGUAGUGAUUAACAGUGUUAAAUACUGUGUGGGAGAUGUCUUUGUUGUGGGUCAUUUGCACUGUGAAAAAAUACCUUUGUUUUUUCAGGUCAAAUAUGUUCUAAACAUACACACAGAUUGGGCGUUAUGUGGAAAACUAUUAAUUCCUCUUUCUUUCUGUCAUCACUAUUACGCCUACUUGGUGAAAUAUGAACAGGACUGGACUGUCCUUGUCGAUGAUAAACUGUUUGUUAGUAUGCGGCAUUUAUGUUAAGCUGUGUUGGGAGGGUUGUAGAGCGUUGUGGAUGAGCUCAAAGCUUGUGUUUUUUAAUCCAGAACACAUCAAGUGUCAUGUAGUUUAUCCGUUAAGUGACUCUCUUUACUUUGGUGUGGUGUGCUAAAGUGUUUUGCUUGGUCUUUGAUAAUAAACUUAUGUUUUUCUGCA
ensembl:lncRNA